rnacentral:rRNA from 1 species
AUUGAACGCUGGCGGCAGGCCUAACACAUGCAAGUCGAGCGGUAGCACAGAGAGCUUGCUCUCGGGUGACGAGCGGCGGACGGGUGAGUAAUGUCUGGGAAACUGCCUGAUGGAGGGGGAUAACUACUGGAAACGGUAGCUAAUACCGCAUAAUGUCGCAAGACCAAAGUGGGGGACCUUCGGGCCUCAUGCCAUCAGAUGUGCCCAGAUGGGAUUAGCUAGUAGGUGGGGUAACGGCUCACCUAGGCGACGAUCCCUAGCUGGUCUGAGAGGAUGACCAGCCACACUGGAACUGAGACACGGUCCAGACUCCUACGGGAGGCAGCAGUGGGGGAUAUUGCACAAUGGGCGCAAGCCUGAUGCAGCCAUGCCGCGUGUGUGAAGAAGGCCUUCGGGUUGUAAAGCACUUUCAGCGGGGAGGAAGGCGGUGAGGUUAAUAACCUCAUCGAUUGACGUUACCCGCAGAAGAAGCACCGGCUAACUCCGUGCCAGCAGCCGCGGUAAUACGGAGGGUGCAAGCGUUAAUCGGAAUUACUGGGCGUAAAGCGCACGCAGGCGGUCUGUCAAGUCGGAUGUGAAAUCCCCGGGCUCAACCUGGGAACUGCAUUCGAAACUGGCAGGCUAGAGUCUUGUAGAGGGGGGUAGAAUUCCAGGUGUAGCGGUGAAAUGCGUAGAGAUCUGGAGGAAUACCGGUGGCGAAGGCGGCCCCCUGGACAAAGACUGACGCUCAGGUGCGAAAGCGUGGGGAGCAAACAGGAUUAGAUACCCUGGUAGUCCACGCCGUAAACGAUGUCGAUUUGGAGGUUGUGCCCUUGAGGCGUGGCUUCCGGAGCUAACGCGUUAAAUCGACCGCCUGGGGAGUACGGCCGCAAGGUUAAAACUCAAAUGAAUUGACGGGGGCCCGCACAAGCGGUGGAGCAUGUGGUUUAAUUCGAUGCAACGCGAAGAACCUUACCUGGUCUUGACAUCCACAGAACUUUCCAGAGAUGGAUUGGUGCCUUCGGGAACUGUGAGACAGGUGCUGCAUGGCUGUCGUCAGCUCGUGUUGUGAAAUGUUGGGUUAAGUCCCGCAACGAGCGCAACCCUUAUCCUUUGUUGCCAGCGGUUCGGCCGGGAACUCAAAGGAGACUGCCAGUGAUAAACUGGGGGAAGGUGGGGAUGACGUCAAGUCAUCAUGGCCCUUACGACCAGGGCUACACACGUGCUACAAUGGCAUAUACAAAGAGAAGCGACCUCGCGAGAGCAAGCGGACCUCAUAAAGUAUGUCGUAGUCCGGAUUGGAGUCUGCAACUCGACUCCAUGAAGUCGGAAUCGCUAGUAAUCGUAGAUCAGAAUGCUACGGUGAAUACGUUCCCGGGCCUUGUACACACCGCCCGUCACACCAUGGGAGUGGGUUGCAAAAGAAGUAGGUAGCUUAACCUUCGGGAGGGCGCUUACCACUCUGUGAUUCAUGACUGGGGUGA